UCCCUGAUAGCUCAGUCGGUAAAGAAUCUGCCUGCAAUGCAGGAGACCUGGGUUCGAUUCCUGGGUCGGAA
rnacentral:tRNA from 1 species